rnacentral:rRNA from 1 species
UACGUAGGGGGCAAGCGUUGUCCGGAUUUAUUGGGCGUAAAGAGCGUGUAGGCGGCCGUACAGGUCAGCUGUGAAAACUCGAGGCUCAACCUCGAGACGUCGGUUGAAACCGUACGGCUAGAGUCCGGAAGAGGAGAGUGGAAUUCCCAGUGUAGAGGUGAAAUUCGUAGAUAUCGGGAGGAACACCAGUGGCGAAGGCGGCUCUCUGGGCAGAUACUGACACUGAGACGCGAAAGCGUGGGUAGCAAACAGG